AUCACUUUUUGGCCUUUCGGCUAAGAUCCAGUAUAGUAUCUGUUCUUAUCAGUUUACUAUCUGAUACAUCCUCUAUCUGAAGACAAUAUAUUAAAUGGAUUUUAGGAGCAGGGAGAUGAAAUAGGAGCUUGCUCUGUCCACUCUUCACGUCGACCUGGUACUGCAGGACCUUCAGGAAUGGUGCAGUGCUC